UAGGGAAUAUUGGACAAUGGGGGGAACCCUGAUCCAGCCAUGCCGCGUGGAGGAAGACUGCCCUCUGGGUUGUAAACUCCUUUUAUAUGGGAAGAACCAUCCUCAUUGAUGAGUGACCUAACGGUACCAUAGGAAUAAGCACCGGCUAACUCCGUGCCAGCAGCCGCGGUAAUACGUAGGGGGCAAGCGCUGUCCGGAUUUACUGGGUGUAAAGGGUGCUCAGGCGGAUUUGUAAGUCAGAGGUGAAAUCUUACAGCUUAACUGUGAAACUGCCUUUGAUACUGCAAGCCUAGAGUAUGGAAGAGAGUGAUGGAAUAUCUGGUGUAGCAGUGAAAUGCGUAGAUAUCAGAUAGAACACCAAUGGCGAAGGCAGUCACUUGGUCCAUUACUGACGCUAAAGCACGAAAGCGUGGGUAGCAAACA
rnacentral:rRNA from 1 species